rnacentral:tRNA from 1 species
ACUCCAAAAAGUUAAUAAAAAAAUUGGGCUUGGAAACCCAAAACUGAAGAGUACCCCCUUCUCAUAGAUUU